GACGAACGCUGGCGGCGUGCCUAAUACAUGCAAGUCGAACGAACUCUGGUAUUGAUUGGUGCUUGCAUCAUGAUUUACAUUUGAGUGAGUGGCGAACUGGUGAGUAACACGUGGGAAACCUGCCCAGAAGCGGGGGAUAACACCUGGAAACAGAUGCUAAUACCGCAUAACAACUUGGACCGCAUGGUCCGAGCUUGAAAGAUGGCUUCGGCUAUCACUUUUGGAUGGUCCCGCGGCGUAUUAGCUAGAUGGUGGAGUAACGGCUCACCAUGGCAAUGAUACGUAGCCGACCUGAGAGGGUAAUCGGCCACAUUGGGACUGAGACACGGCCCAAACUCCUACGGGAGGCAGCAGUAGGGAAUCUUCCACAAUGGACGAAAGUCUGAUGGAGCAACGCCGCGUGAGUGAAGAAGGGUUUCGGCUCGUAAAACUCUGUUGUUAAAGAAGAACAUAUCUGAGAGUAACUGUUCAGGUAUUGACGGUAUUUAACCAGAAAGCCACGGCUAACUACGUGCCAGCAGCCGCGGUAAUACGUAGGUGGCAAGCGUUGUCCGGAUUUAUUGGGCGUAAAGCGAGCGCAGGCGGUUUUUUAAGUCUGAUGUGAAAGCCUUCGGCUCAACCGAAGAAGUGCAUCGGAAACUGGGAAACUUGAGUGCAGAAGAGGACAAUGGAACUCCAUGUGUAGCGGUGAAAUGCGUAGAUAUAUGGAAGAACACCAGUGGCGAAGGCGGCUGUCUGGUCUGUAACUGACGCUGAGGCUCGAAAGUAUGGGUAGCAAACAGGAUUAGAUACCCUGGUAGUCCAUACCGUAAACGAUGAAUGCUAAGUGUUGGAGGGUUUCCGCCCUUCAGUGCUGCAGCUAACGCAUUAAGCAUUCCGCCUGGGGAGUACGGCCGCAAGGCUGAAACUCAAAGGAAUUGACGGGGGCCCGCACAAGCGGUGGAGCAUGUGGUUUAAUUCGAAGCUACGCGAAGAACCUUACCAGGUCUUGACAUACUAUGCAAAUCUAAGAGAUUAGACGUUCCCUUCGGGGACAUGGAUACAGGUGGUGCAUGGUUGUCGUCAGCUCGUGUCGUGAGAUGUUGGGUUAAGUCCCGCAACGAGCGCAACCCUUAUUAUCAGUUGCCAGCAUUAAGUUGGGCACUCUGGUGAGACUGCCGGUGACAAACCGGAGGAAGGUGGGGAUGACGUCAAAUCAUCAUGCCCCUUAUGACCUGGGCUACACACGUGCUACAAUGGAUGGUACAACGAGUUGCGAACUCGCGAGAGUAAGCUAAUCUCUUAAAGCCAUUCUCAGUUCGGAUUGUAGGCUGCAACUCGCCUACAUGAAGUCGGAAUCGCUAGUAAUCGCGGAUCAGCAUGCCGCGGUGAAUACGUUCCCGGGCCUUGUACACACCGCCCGUCACACCAUGAGAGUUUGUAACACCCAAAGUCGGUGGGGUAACCUUUUAGGAACCAGCCGCCUAAGGUGGGACAGAUGAUUAGGGUG
rnacentral:rRNA from 1 species